CAGCUCUCUAAACCAAACACUGACAGCAGUUUAAUCUUACAGAUAUAAAAAAAAUCCGAGUCAGAGAAAUCAUCACGAUGAAGUCAGAGGCGAGAAACUGUCAGUGUAUACAGAGUCUUGCUCUGUCACCCAGGCUGAAGUAUAGUGGUUCGAUCUCGGCUCACUGCAACCUCCACCUCCUGGCUCCCGCGAUUCUCCUGCCUCAGCCUCCUGAGUAGCUGAGAUUACAGGCGCCCGCCACCACGCCCGGCUAAUUUUGGUAUUUUUAGUAGAGAUGGGGUUUCACCAUGUUGGCCAGGCUCAUCUGGAACUCCUAGCCUCAAGCAAUCCGCCUUCAAAAGUGUUGGGGAUUACAGGAGUGAGCCACCGCGCCCGGCCUAUCAAUAAAUAAGAAAACUUUUAAAGAAGCACAGGAUAGUAUUGGAGGUCAAGUAUGUUCCUCUUGGAAAUUUAGUAACAAACUACAUGUUGCUAUCUCAUAAUGGCAGCUAACAUUUAUGAAGUAUUCAUUGUCAUGAGGCACCGUACAUAGAUUUCUAAUUUAAUCCUUACAACGAUUUUAUUAGGGAGAAACUGCUAUUAGAUCCAUUUUGUAAAUGAGAAAACUAAGGCACACAAAGUUUAAUGAAGGAACCAGGAUUAACCCUAAGCAAUCUAACUCCAGGUCCCAGAUUUUUUAACCACUAUUACAGUACUGUUUAAUUUGAUUUGAUAUUUAAAAGGAUUAAUAAAAUUAGUACAGGUCCAUUCCCUUAUUCAUAAAUGUUCAUUGUCUCCAUUUAUUUCUUUAUACUGUUCUGCUGAAAUUGCACUCUCAUCUCCCCAAUAACUUUGUAAUAUUCAAUACCAUUUUCUUCAGUCAUCCCAUUUUAAAAUAUAUUUUUACUAGAAUAGUGAAAUAUAUAUUCAGAUAAAAUUGGCUUUGUUUUAAUAAUGAUCAGUAAAAGUAAAUUCAUUUUAAUCAUUUCCACACAUUCAUGAAAAGUAAAGGGGAAAAAUGGGCAUAGAGGUAAACACUAGAAUUAGGCUUUCUUGGAUGGGUAGACCAGGUGUGGAGGUGUGCAGAUAAGAUUUUACAAACACUCAUACACUCCCAUCUCCAAAAUCAUAAUUUAUCUUACAUUCUGCUACUAAUAAACAUUCCACUGGUUUUAAACAUUCACUUUUCUGGGUCUCCUCUUUAAAAUUUAUCAUUCACUGUUCUCAAUGUUAGAGACAGUAUGCAAACAGUAGGUUUAGGAAUAGAGUCAGGAGAUGGGGGAAGAAAAACUGGUAGGAGAGAAUGUCUCACAGUGUUAAAUGUGACUUGAUAGCCACUAUUUAUAUGUUUUUGUAGUUUGCUGUGAGGAUGACUUUAUACAAUUUAAUCUUAAAUAGGAACCUAACUUAAUAGUUAGGCUUCCUUGGGUAGUCUGUGGAGCGUGGAAAGGUUAUUAGCAUGUCAAAAUCCUGUCCACGCACACAUACAUGCACAUACACACAAAUGUAGUUGGGUUACAUAAUAAAUUUAUAUUCAAACUUAAUGAAAACAACCAAUAGGAAAAAGCUUCUCAAUUCCAAAAGUGAAAGAGUAAUUUUACAAUACCAUUUUCCUUUUUCCUUUUCAUGAUAAAUCUAUGCAUUUUCUCAGGAUUUAUUCCACCAAACGACUUUGUAUUUCUCAUGAAACAUCUACCUUUAUUCAUCUCAGCAUUUAUUUAUGUAAUAAACAUUUCUUUUGAUGUGCUUUUAUUUUUACAAAGAUGCCACCUAGUGGCUUGAUAAAAUCAAGCAUUUCAAAGUAUUUGCCGUUGUUACUCCAGGUUAAAAUGAAUAAUGAAUAUUUUUAAUAUUAAAAUAAUUUAGAAAACUAAGGACCUGAAAAUUUUUGUUUUGGAAAUUAUGUAGAUUAAAUUUGGAUCAUAAUAUCACUUUGUGAGCUUGUUAAGAGAAUGGAAAUAUAGGUCUAUAGUCCCUUUUCUGAAACCUUUUAGGACAGAUGUGUUUGAUAUUCAGAAUUUUUCAGAUUUUUGAAAGGAAAUAUGGGCAUAUACUUUACAUUAUGUAACACAUUCAGAGGGUCUGAGGAAGCAGUUUAGAAUCAAAUAUAUUGAUACAUCUGUGCCAAAAUAUAUUCAUAUUCACAUUGAAGUGGGAUAAAUAGCACAAAUAGCCUCAUGUAAUUCAGGUGGGGUUUGUUGCCAAAUGAGUUAUGAAAAAACUUUGUUUUCAGAGAUUUUUGAAAUUAGGAAUUUAGAUAAGGGACUGUGGACCUGUUUUACUCUGGUGAAAAAGAAUUCACCCUCCAGUUAUAGAGAGAUUAAAAUGCCAAUAUUUUGUAAAAAAAAAAAUAGUAAUAGUUAUCUUUAGAAAAGCUAAUAGAUUCACCUAAAAAAAUUGAGGAUCAUGAGAAAUACCAAAAUAGAAAUCUUUGCAAUGCUUUUCAUUUAAUUAUAUACAGAAGCCAAUCAUAAAUUACAUUUAAGUGUACCACAAAAAAUUAGCUGCUAACGUAAACCUAAAGACCAAUUUGAAAAUUAUUAGUGAUGCAUGGCAAGUUCAAUUCAUAAAUUUUGUGGCACAGUCAAAAAAAAAUUUAACCUUGGUUGUUUCUUUUUUUUUUUUAUUCCUAUGUAUAAUUUACCAUGUUCCAAUUCCCCACCACCACUAUAGUCAUGGAAAUAUAUGUUGAUGGUGCCACGCUCAGCCUGGAUUCCUUGUGUGUCUAUGAGCACUUCUUACCAACCCUCCUUAAACAUGCAGUAUGAAUAAAAAAUACACUUAUAUCAAGACACUGGGAUUUAAGGAUAACCCAUGCUAAGUCACUACAUUACUCACUAUUUUACUUCACUAUCUAGAAUACUGACUCAUCUCUAGUCUCUCAAAUGAAUUCUUCCUGUCCCCAUCAAUCAUUCAAACCCCUUAUCACAUUCCCACUGUGAUUUCCUGUGAAUUUCGUCUAAAAUAAAACGUCGACCUCCUCUAAACCCAACUGGUAGCCUCUCAUUUACUUUUCUCUAAAACAAUUGGCAUUACUAUUGUUGUAGCAUAGGCUACAAUCUCACUGAACACUUAGUUUUUGUUUUUGUUUUUAGUAGAGACGUGGUUUCACCAUAUUGGCCAGGCUGGUCUCGAACUUUUGACCUCAAGUGAUCCACCCACCUCAGCCUCCCAAAGUGGUGGGAUUACAGGUGUGAGCCACCACGCCUCCCCACUGAACACUUAGUUUUAAUGCUGCACUUAGCAAAUCCAAAAUACUCGUGAUAAGUUCAGCAAUUUGGUACUUAAUCCUAUACCCCACAACACACUUGCGUAGGGUGUUAACUUCUGUUUGUUUACAUAAUCAUAGCGGAUGGGAGGAAAAAGAAAAAGCUGCUAUUAGCCUACAUGUGGGAAUUUUCCUAUAUAUUGUCAUCUCCCUUUUAAAAAAGAUACAUUCAUAAACAUUGUUAUUGGCUUAAUUAGCUUCACUCCUCUGACUGGGAUUAGAAAAUUGACAAUAAAAUAUAGCUUUUCUUCCAUCCCCCAAUUCUGAGGGAAAAGGAGAGGGAGGGGAGAAUGAGGGAGAGUGAAAGGAUACAAUAAAACCUGAGGCCUGAUUGCACAUGAUGACUACUACUGCUGGCAUCAAUUCAUUCUAUUCCAAUGACAGACUACUUGAUCCUACUGGUGUGGGAAAGAUGGCAACCUUGAGACCUGAGCCUUACUCCAGUAGGGUGCCCCCCUAUAUCUUGUUUGCCCAGGACAGUCAUGGUGUACAUCUGUUAUCCUUAUGUAAUUAUUUUCACUCAAAACCAUUCCAAGUGGAAUGAUAAGUUAUCCUAUAGUUAUCCUAAAUAUAAGCCAUUUUCAUCCCAAAGGAAAGAAUGCCAAGAAAUUGGAAUCGUCUGCACUAAGUCCCAGUGUGGGAGAAAGGGGGCAUCAACUUUGUUGCCAUUUCUUCUUUCUUAGCAAAGCUCAGAUUGAUUAGCUUCUCUUUCUUUUCAAGUAUCUGCUGUAUGGUGAUUAACUAGAAUGAAACCCAUGGGAGAACUGAAAUAGGCCAUUCUGAAAAUUAUUAAAAUUAGUUUAGUAGCCACUCAAAACACUGAAGAUCUUUGAAUAAAAGAAUCAUUUGCAAAGUGAUCAGGAGACUUAACCUGGAUGUUUAUAGGAAGCAACUGGGAAAAGACUGAAGGAAUAAAAACGAUCAGGUGUAAAGUUCUGUGAGCAAUUGAGACAGAAGAAAGAACCAAUGACCAAAUUGCAAUACCUUUUAGAUACCUAUCCCAUUAACAUAAUCUGCCUAUAACCAAUAUGCAGCUCUUUGCAGAAAAUGAAAUCGUUUACUACUUCUGCUCGUAUUUGUUCUUUACAGAUAUUUUGACAGAAAAAGUAAAGACAGCAGGAUCUAGUUUCAUUUGGUACAGCCCAUACAGUACAGGAAGAACUCACAACAUCCCAAGCAUAUUCAUAAAUAAUAAUAUAACAGGAGCAUCAGUUCUAGAACCAGACUGCCUGGGUUCAAACUUUAGCUUCACAUCUUACUAGCUAUGUGACCUUGGAUUUGUUAUUAAAUCAUCUCUUGGUUUCAGUGUCCCCAAGGCCCCAAGUUGCAUAAUUGCAGGGGAAAACUACUCACGUAGGGUUCUGGUUUCUUAUCUGGAAAAUGAAGAUAAUUUGUAGUAUCACUCUUAGGGUUGCAGUGCAGGUUUAAUGAGUAAAAUUAGUCAGGUACUUAUGAUAGUGCCUGACAUUCAUAUUAAAGUCUCAACAAACAUUAGCUAUUAUUGUUAUAAUAUUAUUUUUACAAUGACUAUUAUUCUGCAACUAGCAUUUCUAAUGCAAACACCAGUAAGGUCCCCUUUUAGCAAAAAAGUUCAGUAACAUUGUUGGUGAAACAUAAAAGACGCCCAAGAAUCAUGGCAGAUACAGGACUGAAAGUAUGACAAAAACACAGCAAGCCAUCUUUGUUUUUGUGUUAUCCAAAGGACCUGAAAAAUAAUGGUUGGCUAGAAAAUUACCUUGAAAGCACCCAUGCAAACACACUUCAGGAUCAUGUUUUAAUAAAUAUAUAUUCAAGAAAUGUUUAGAACUGAAAAUGUUGUUAUAAAUCAUAUUCUAUUUCUUUUACAGCAUUAGAAAUAGGCCAUUCUGAGAAACAGGCCAAACUUGCCUCAAUGUAGUCAUUGAGUUAACAAUACUAGAACCAUGAGAAUGAGAAACCCUGGGCUUCUAACUCCCCCUCUAACACUUCCCCACCAGAAGGAGCCUUCUUGCACUCUAACCUCUAAAAAUCCACCUUAUUUAAUAUUUAUUUAGUAUUCAUGUUACAGCUCUAUGAGGGGAGAAAUAUAAUGGAAAGAAGGAAAAAUACCAUUUUUUUUUCUCAUUCUGAGCAAAUGUGCGCACGCAUGCAUGCACACACACACGUAUACACAAAACCCCACAAGAGUAUAGUACUAUCUAUUAAGGAUAUAGUAGUACUUAAGUACUAUCUAUUAGAUAUAGUACUAUCUAUUAAGUAUAUCUAUUAAGUAUAUCUAAUAGAUAUAGUACUAUCUAUUAAGGAUAUAGUACUAUCUAUUAAGGAAAAAGAUACCAAGUUAAAUUUAACCAAGUAUUUAGAAAUGACAGGGAGCUAGGAAGAAAGGACGAAAACACAUGUAAUUUUAUUUUUGUUUAACCUUAAGCUUGCCAACUUCUUUCCCUGAACAGCAUUUGUAGUGUUUUGAUACCCACCUACACUUAUAUUAGAAACAUACUGCAAACUAUUUAGUGAUUCCACUUUUAAUUUGUAGUCGUAUGACUAAGAUGUUUUGAAUAUAAGCCUAUCCGUAUGCCAGAUAUAAAUUUCAGGAACUCUUAAUGUCUCUUCUUUUACAGAAACUCUACCUCUAUCCUGAUGUAAUUAGGUUGAUUAAGAAAAUUAAAGGCCACGGGCCAGAAAACUAACUUCCACAAAUGCAACAAAAGGAAAAUUUCUCCAAUAACCUCUGUGCAAUGGGAAAUCUUUCUUUUAAGUACCAAGUCAAUUUCUUUAACUGUACAAUGUAUUCUAAUUUGCAGGUUUUCAAAUAUAAUACAGUAACAACAAAAUAUAAUAAAAUUAAGACUAUAAGAAAACAGAGUAAAUGGUAUAAUUCAAAUAAUGACUAAAAUAAAAUGACACUAUGGAUUUUGUAAUCAACCUAUAAUUAUUUAAAUUUUACUUUACAUACAUAAGAUCACAGCUGAGGUUAACCAUAAUUUCAAAUUUUAUCACCAGCCACUUGUGCUAUUUUAUCACAUUUGAAAAUAUUCACUCGUAUUAUUUACUUCAAACAGUAAUCUAUAAAUUUGUUUAGACUCUAAUAAUUAAGGACCUUUUCUUCUUCAGGAUAACUUAAAAAAUUAAAUGAUGUAUUGAACAUACUACUAAAGAAACUUCACUUUUUGAUUAUGGUCUCUGCAUUGAAGAUCUGUAGGAAUUUUUCUUUAAUAAUUUUCAAAUCUUCCCAUGGCCUCUGUUCACAGAAAUAUCAUCUCUGAAAUAACUUGUG